rnacentral:rRNA from 1 species
UUGGAGGGCAAGUCUGGUGCCAGCAGCCGCGGUAAUUCCAGCUCCAAUAGCGUAUAUUAAAGUUGUUGCAGUUAAAAAGCUCGUAGUUGAACUUCGGGGUCUACCCAUUGGUCAGGCUUAAUUGUCUGUACUGGUGAGAUGGAUCUCUACCUUCUGAGGAACUUUCAUGCCAUUUAUUUGGUGUGAUUGGAAAUCAGAACUGUUACUUUGAAAAAAUUAGAGUGUUUAAAGCAGACUAUCGUCUGAAUACAUUAGCAUGGAAUAAUGAAAUAGGACGGACUGAUUCUAUUUCGUUGGUUUCUAGGAUCACCGUAAUGAUUAAUAGGGAUAGUUGGGGGCAUUAGUAUUCAAUUGUCAGAGGUGAAAUUCUUGGAUUUAUUGAAGACUAGCUACUGCGAAAGCAUUUGCCAAGGAUGUUUUCAUUAAUCAAGAACGAAAGUUAGGGGAUCGAAGACGAUCAGAUACCGUCGUAGUCUUAACCAUAAACUAUGCCGACUAGGAAUCAGACGAUGUUAAUUUUUUAAUGACUCGUUUGGCACCUUACGGGAAACCAAAGUGUUUGGGUUC